CUUCCGAGCCCGCGCAUUCCCGUCGGGCGGUCACUUCCACGAAGCCCAGGAGAGCCGCCAGAGGCCGGCACACGCAGGAGGCAGGGCCGUGGAGCGAGCACGCGGAGCACGUGCGCCCUUGUGGCCCAGCACCGGCUCCCGGCGGCAGCUCCCGGCGGGGGGCGGCCUGCGAGGAGCGGGCCUGCGGGGGCCCCGGCUGGACAGGCCUGCGGGGAGCGGGCGCCGCCCCCGCUGGACACCCCGCGGUACGUGCGAUGCCACCCCUCCCUCCCUCCCUCCCUCCCGCCGCUCUCCGCGUGGAGAGCCUGUGCGGGCGCGGCCCCCGCCCCGACAAGACCCGCCGUCCCAGGAGGGCCCCGGGCGGCGGGCGCACCCCCGGCCCGAGCGCGCACCCCGGCCCCGAGCGCGCACCCCGGGCGGCGGGCGCACACUUACGUCUCCGCUCCCCGCGGGCAGGUCGGCGCGGCUCCCGCGGCUCGGGCGGGCGGGGAGGAGGAGGGAGGAGGGCGGAGGGCGGCGGGCGGCGGGGACACCCGCUCCCGCUCCCGCUCCCGGCCCCGCGCUCUCCGCUCCGGGCUCCGGGCUCCGCGCUCCCGCACCCGCUCCCGCGCUCGGGGCCGCGGGCGGCAGGCGGCAGGCGGCAGGCGCGCCGGCUCGUACCCGGAGGCUCCGCGGGUGUGGCCGGGCAGCCGAGGUUUUUGGAAUGCAGGGUGUGGCCCUCUAACACAGCAAAAAAGAAAUGAGUCAGCCCGUGCGAUCCUAACCAAUAAGCGUGUUCAUUGUCGGCUAAGGCGGAACUUGCCUGUCUUGAUUUAUAUCAGGCUUAGGAGCCCGGUACAGCCUUUAAAAGAGGUUUUUUCCCCCCGAACUUCAGCCUUGAACAACUUCCAAGAACAGCAGAGGCUCUUUAAAAACUCUUUCAAAGCCAGAGUCAGUGUCAGGACAUGCUUGACCGGCGGGUGCAGAACCGAUCAUUCAUUCCAUAAGCCAAAUUUUCUCCAAAAUACUCACUGGCCAAAGAUAAAAUCUAAAGUGAGAGCAAAGGCCCUUCCUAAAAUGGGGUUUUCUUCAAAGCAGCAUGGAAAGAACAGAGCACCAGGACUCAGGAGCUCCAGCCCUCAUCCCAGCUGUGCCCAUAAGAGACCAGGAGCGUGGUGCGAGGUAAACCGGUUCAUCUCUCUCAAGAGUUCCAAAAGUUCUUCCACCUGAAGGACCAACUUGUGGUCCAAACAGGCAGGCACAAGAUAAGCCUAUUACCUCAAAAUUUUCCUAGCAACAGGCAUCAGUGGGCCCAUAGUCUAGAUGAUAAGGUUGAAAAUCUCUCUUGACUCUCACAUAAAGGUAAUCUCAUUGUCCUAGAUGCUUUGAGUUAAAUUCUGGAGUCAUCUGAGAACACACGUUCUCUCUUUCAUUCACUAUCAACAGGUAUGAUGACAGCCUCCUAGUCAUCUCCCAUUAUCUGUACCAUUCUUGCCAUUCCGGGUUCAGGUAUUCAUCCCCCUGUGCCAGGUCACCGAGGCUGAGUGUCCCCAACUGCUGUUCCAGCUGCCAAGUCUCCCUCUCUACUCCCAAAGCAGCAUCACCCUCACAUGAUACAUGCGAAAGUCCAGCAUGCCACCAUGUCAGAAACCUUCCCUCUAUCAGUUGAACAGCUACGGUUUUAUAGUAGAGAUCCAAAGGAAAACAUCCGCUUUUUGGGCAACUUUCCUCAAACAUUCAUGCAAAUUAAUAUGUAUUUUUAAGAACGGCGAUUUUCUGUUUACAAAAAUACUAUAAGCAGUUAACACUGGCCAAACUGAUGAUAUGUUGGCUGUUACACCAAGAAUAGCAGCUCUUUUAUAUGGGAAGGUUGUAUAUAUAUAAAACUGUUGUGUAUUUGAGCAACUGAGUAAACUUCUUAUCACCUGCAAUCUGAAAAAUGCAAUUGUAUGUGUGUAGAUAUAUACAGAUACACUGAGAUACACGAAAGAGGAAGGGAAAGGCAGCUGUCCAGAAAAGAGAGAGAGAAUUUAGUUUGUUUCUAAUGCCUAGGAUCCAGGCAGGCUUAAAAUUCACAGAGUGGGUGCUCUGUCCAGGAAGAAGAGCUUCAUAAAUAUGUCUACCUGCGAUCCUAACACUCAAAGCACUUGAAAGAUGUUUACAAUAAUCCUUAUGCUCCCAAAGCAAGGACCGAGUUGCCAGUGUUGCCAAAACGUCCUUACAGAUGUCUUUUUUGCCUAAAGUACAAAACUAUCAGUAGUACAGGCUAUCGUUGUACGGUUCAAAAAAGUGACGAUCAGCCCACCGGCCCAAUGCCAUGUUGCUCAGUCAUUCAAAAGCUGGCCUUCACCUUUCCAACCCCCAUCUUCCAUCUUAGGAACCCUCCAUCAAAUAACCCAACUGAUCUACCUGCUGUCCCCCUAAGGCAGUGGACAGCACUUCCUUCCUGUGGAGGCCCACACCACACCCCCUGGCAGUAGGUAGACCUCUUCUCACUCUUCAUACUAGCCAUGACCUUCCAGACCCUUCCUUUUCCUAGAACCCUCCCCACUGGCUCAAGCCUUGGAGAACUUUCCUUUCCUCAAAUGCCUACAGACCUUAUUUUUUAUACCUCCGUCUCAAAACUGAUUUACAGAACCUCAGCGUUGCUCUUUGAUUCAAGAUCUCUCCCUGACCUUUCUCUCUGGCCAGAUGAUAUAAGUCUAUCUGAGGAUGAGGUUGUGUCUCAAAGGCUUUGUAUCCCCAGCACAUGGCAGAUUCUGAAUACACAGUCAUGUUGAUGUGACUGAUGCUCCAGUUCUACAACAGCCAUGAAGGAGAAGGGAAAACGUUCCUCCUAACUGCUGACACAUCAGGAAUAAGCAGAUAUUAUAGCUGUCCAAGCCAGUUGGCAGGCAGAACUCAAGCGGCAGAUGCAUUUCUUUGCUCUCUCUGACAUGUUCCAACAAUACCGAAUGCUACAACUGAGAGCACAAAUUGGUACUUCCUAAAAGGAAGUAGGGUUUACGAAAGAGUGUCAUCACAUAAAAUCUCAGUUUCUCCAACACGAACCCACUGAAGAAAACAAAAGCAUUCAGUCAUAUUAUCUUCCCUUUCUAGUAAGGAACACACACACACACACAUUGGGUCAUCUUGCCAAAGUGCCAAUCUGUCCGUAAAGAUAAACGUCUCUCUCAACAUACAUGGUAUAGUCACGAGCAGCUACCUGCUUACCUACUAAUGCUCCUAAUUAUAAACAGUAGCAAAAGGCAGUCUUCAACGCAACUUAUAACUACUAGAACCAUCAUAUGUAUAUGUUUGUUUAUAUGGUUUAAAAUCAAACAUUAUAGAUGCCUGUAUUAGCACAAAGUCCUAUCAGAAUCAUUAUCUCUCUUACUUUUUUAAAAAAGGUUUUAUUUUAAUCACCCGGUGCUCAUCACAACAGGUGCCCAUCACCUGUUUCAUGUCCCCCCUCCCCCUCCAGUGACCAUCAGUGUGUUUUAAGUCAUUAUUUCUCUCUCUCUCUCUCUCUCUUACACACACACACACACACACACAUAGUCACUGGUAUCCUUUGAUUAGUGCUAAUUAAUAUAUUUCUGCUUUUAUGAGAUAGGCAUAAACACUACCAUUGUUCUCAAAAAGCUAUGUUAUAAAUCAGCUGUCCUACUAUGUAAUUAUAUUUAUGAUAAUUGUCAUGACAAAGACACAACUUCUUAAACAUUCCAAGUCUAAACAAAUGAAUUAGUCACCUUUUUCUAACUUGCCGGUAACAGAAAUGGCACUUGAAGCAUCGCCAGUAAAAGCAAGGAGGGCACAUGAUGUAAUGAGCACUGGGUGUUAUAUAAGGCUGAUGAAUCACUGACCUCUACCUCUGAAGCUAAUAAUACACUAUAUGUUAAUUGAAUUUAAAUUAGAAAAUAAAUAAAUUAUAAAUAAAUAAUUAAAAAUUAAAAAAAUAAAAGGUGGAAUGUGUUGACUUAAGUAACCCAGCAACAGGAGAGUCAUAAGGGUAGCUGGGCUUUAGGAUCAACUCAAAAUAAACUCCACCAGGACUAGAUGGUUUCAUUCUUCCUUUCUGAAAUCUGUCUUCUUCCGCUUAAAUCCCGGCUCUGCCAGUAAAAGGGACUAUACUAUAGUUAUAAUUUUAAAGAUUUUCGGAAAAAACUCACACAGGUCCCACUUGGGGCCAUGCGCCCACCUGGUGGGUCAAGGUCCUCUGUUUGGCAGGUCUACAAUAAAACUACCUGGUUAGAUUUGCAAGAAGAGCAGUAAUUUCUCCAGAAGGUGAGCGGACUUCCUAGAAGUAGAAAAAAGGACUCAUGUGCCCCCAGGAAACCUACCGCCUAUCAAGCAAUUCCAUUUUAUGUCCAAGCAAAAGGUUAUCUAAAUAGUCAGCCCUCAACCUGGUAAUAAAUUACAUUCUAAAAGUUCACUCCUAAGUAUGAAGUCAAUGAACUUAUGUGGCAUUUGAAAUGCAUUUCACUACAGACAAAACGUAGACAGUGGCUUCUCUGGCCAGUCUUUAGAAGCCUAUUUAACUUAUGAUUGAUCUCAAGUAUAAUGUUAAUAAUAUUUCUAAUAUUGUACUCAAACCUCAUUCUUAACACUGUCCCUAUAGGAAAAUAUAUUUGAAAUUGCACCAAAACAAGAAAAAAAAUUGCUCAAUGUAAUUCAUUUACUGAGGAUCUAGUCACGAUAGUGCCUUCUGCUGUACACACAUUAUUUCCCGUUUAAUAUGUAUACAACACAGCCAGGCAGGUGUUCGCAGCAGUACUGAGCCCACUGUUAACUAGGAGUCAUGAAGGUUCUGAGCCCAAGGUCAACUGUCAAGGCGAGUCAGAGCCAGCUUCAAAACUAUGGAUGUUUAACCCCAAACCUGGGGUUUUAAUGUCUGAUCCCCACAGCUGCCAAACAGGCCUGGGUUUACAGCUCAGAGUACGGAUGGCUAAUGUUUCAGACUCUGUGUAAACACUGAGGUUUUCCUGCAAAAAAGAGAAGGGACAAGUGGCCAGUCACUGUCAAUAACCAGACAUUAACUUUCUAUAUUCUCCCCAACAGAGGAUGCUUCUCUGUGGUAGAACAAAAGAAAAUAUUUCUCUGGGUGAGCCCUAAACUAUAUCGA
rnacentral:lncRNA from 1 species